rnacentral:lncRNA from 1 species
AUCGGUAUCGGCUUUUUUUGGUCCUCCAAUAAUUGGUAUCGGUAUCGGCGUUGAAAAAUCAUAAUCGGUCGACCUCUAGUUGUGACGGCUAUGUCUUGGGGUGCUGCUUUUGGGGGUUGGAGGAAGGGUGUGGAUCCACCAGCCAUGAUGUCUGGGAACACACAGUAUGACAGACAGUUAAAGAGAUUUAAUACAGAUUCAUUCAACCACCUCCUUACAACUUCAAAUCAUCCCUACUCUCAAUCUCUAAAUCAAACUUUAUUUGCCACAUGCACCGAAUACAACAAGUGUAGACUUUACCGUGAAAUGCUUUACAAGCCCUUAACCAACAGUGCAGUUCAAGAAGAAGAAAAUAUUUACCAAAGAAGGCUAAAAUAAACAGUAAUAAUAAAAAGUAACACAAUCAAAAUAACGUGGCUAUAUACAGGGGGCACCGGUACCGAGUCAGUGUGCAGGGGUACAGGCUAGUUGAGGUAAUCUGUACAUGUAGGUGGGGGCGAAGUGACCAUGCAUAGGUAACAAACAAACAGUGAGAAGCAGCAGUGUACAAAGGGGGGGGUCAAUGUAAAUUGUCCGGUGGUGAUUUUUAUGAAUUGUUCAGCAGUCUAAUGGCAGAAGCUGUUGAGGAUCCUUUUGGUCUUAGACUUGGCGCUCGGUACCGCUUGCUGUGCGGUAGCAGAGAAGAGUCUAUGACUUGGGUGACUGGAGUCUCUGACAAUUUUAUGGGCUUCCCUCUGACACCACCUAUUACAUACGUCAUGGAUGGCAGGAAGCUUAGGCCCCAAUACUGUACUGGGCUGUUUGCACUACCCUCUGUAGCGCCUUACGGUCAGAUGCCAAGCUGUUGCCAUACCAGGCGGUGAUGCAACCGGUCAGGAUGCUCUCGAAGGUGCAGCUGUAGAACUUUUUGAGGAUCUGGGGGCCCAUGCCAAAUCUUUUCAGUCUCCUGAGUGGGAAAGGCUUAUGUUGUGCCCUAUUCACCACUGUCUUGGUAUGUUUUAAGUAUGAUAGUUGGUUGGUGAUGUGGACACCAAGGAACUUGAAACUCUCGACCCACUCCACUACAGCCCCGUCGAUGUUAAUGGGAGCCUGUUCGGCCAGCCUUUUCCUGUAGGCCACGAUCAGCUCCUUUGUCUUGCUCACAUUGAGGGAGAGGUUGUCGUCCUGGCACCACACUGCCAGUUCGCUGACCUCCUCCCUAUAGGCCGUCUCAUCAUUGUCAGUGAUCAGGCCUACCACUGUUGUGUCGUCAGCAAACUUAAUGAUGGUGUUGGAGUCGUAUUUGGCCACGCAGUCGUGGGUGAACAAGGAAUACAGGAGGGGACUAAGCACACACCCCUGAGAGGCCCCA